CAAGGCAACGAUCCGUAACCGGCUUGAGAGGGCGGUCGGUCACACUGACACUGACAUACGGGUCAGACUCCUACGGGAGGCAGCAGUCGGGAAUUUUGGGCAAUGGGCGAAAGCCUGACCCAGCAACGCCGCGUGAAGGAUGAAAUCCCUCGGGAUGUAAACUUCGCAAGAACGGGAAGAAUAAGUAGGGGACAAUACCCCCUAUGAUGACGGUACCGUUUGUAAGCUCCGGCUAACUCCGUGCCAGCAGCCGCGGUAAUACGGGGGGAGCAAGCGUUGUUCGGAUUUACUGGGCGUAAAGGGCGCGUAGGCGGUCAGCACAAGUCAGUUGUGAAAUCUCCGAGCUUAACUCGGAAAGGUCAACUGAUGCUGUGCGACUAGAGUGCAGAAGGGGCAACUGGAAUUCUCGGUGUAGCGGUGAAAUGCGUAGAUAUCGAGAGGAACACCUGCGGCGAAGGCGGGUUGCUGGGCUGACACUGACGCUGAGGCGCGAAAGCUAGGGGAGCAAACGGGAUUAGAUACCCCGGUAGUCCUAGCCUUAAACGAUGAAUGCUUGGUGUCUGGGGUUAUAAAGUCCCCGGGUGCCGUCGCUAACGCUUUAAGCAUUCCGCCUGGGGAGUACGGUCGCAAGACUGAAACUCAAAGGAAUUGACGG
rnacentral:rRNA from 1 species